GUGGGGAAUCUUCCGCAAUGGACGAAAGUCUGACGGAGCAACGCCGCGUGAGUGAAGAAGGUUUUCGGAUCGUAAAGCUCUGUUGUUUGAGACGAAUGUGCAGACUUUGAAUAAGGGUUUGUAAUGACGGUAUUAAACGAGAAAGCCACGGCUAACUACGUGCCAGCAGCCGCGGUAAUACGUAGGUGGCAAGCGUUGUCCGGAAUUAUUGGGCGUAAAGGGAGCGCAGGUGGGAAUGUAAGUCAGUCUUAAAAGUGCGGGGCUCAACCCCGUGAGGGGAUUGAAACUACAUUUCUUGAGUGCAGGAGAGGAAAGUGGAAUUCCUAGUGUAGCGGUGAAAUGCGUAGAGAUUAGGAGGAACACCAGUGGCGAAGGCGACUUUCUGGACUGUAACUGACACUGAGGCUCGAAAGCCAGGGGAGCGAACGGGAUUAGAUACCCUGGUAGUCC
rnacentral:rRNA from 1 species